ensembl:lncRNA LINC00869 long intergenic non-protein coding RNA 869
CUAUGUAGAUGAGGCAGCGCAGGGGCUGCUGCUUCGCCACCUGCUGCUUCGCCACGAAAGAGUUCCCGUGCCGUGGGAGCAAGUCUGGGACCUCUGGUCGGAACGGAGAGUCGCAGCUGUGUGUUAGGGCUAGGAUGGCUCCGGGAUGCGCGUGAGGAUACAUGAUCCCUUAAUUCAGGCUCAGGCUGAAGAACUGACCCACUUACGACAGAAGAUACAGGAAGGGAGAGGUGUCUGCUACCUUUUCACCCAGCAUGUGAAGAACACAGUCAAGUCUUUUGAGGGCCUUCUCAGGAACACUGACAUUGCCUACUACCAGAGACAGAGAUUCUGUGAGCAAAUGGUACAAGGAAGCCAGCUGACAGAGAUCCUUGUCAGAAAACUUGCCACAGAAUCAACCCCAAUGCUCACUAACAAACUGAGAAGAAAAAAAAAGAAUUACCCCCAACAACAUCUGAGGAAGCACAACAGGGACAGACUUGAAGGCACCUGGGCAGUCCUCUGGUUUUGGAGUAGAGAAAAUCACAAUGGUAAGAAAAAUGAAGACAGGCAAAAGCCACUGGCUCCCAGGCACACUUUACUCCCAGUCAAAAGUGGACUGUAUACUUCCUCUUUGAUGUGAUGGUCCCUUUGGUUUUGGUGCCUCUUCCAUGAGCUUCAGAUCAGAACUAGCUAUGUGGUUCCAGGCUGCCUUGGUUUAAUCCCUUGUCUUGCCUACUUCACCUGGCUCAAGAGGGAAGUCCAGGAGGAAGAAAUGGAUGAAGUCCUGGAGGACUCACUAGAUGAACAGUAUUUGACUCAUUCCAGCUGCCAUGACUCCCACCAGCUUCCCAGCAGCAAUGCCUUCCUCUUUGAUGCACAGGAAGGCCCCUUGGCUGUGGAAAUAGCCAGAUGCACCUCUAACCUCUACAGGCAAAUCAUAGAUUCCAUUGUCCAGCUGUAUAAUGAAAACAGAGUUCUCAGAGAAGAAUACCGGAGACUCCCCCGACUUGCCUGAAUCAAAUUUCCAGAGCUAAACAAGCACUGGCCUUGAGAUAAGCAAUGCUGAAGCACUUGCAGCUCACCUAUUACCAUAAACUGACUGAGCCCUCCCUACACAAGCCGUAACUACUGCUUUGAUUGGACAAGAGACUGAUUUCAGUAGUUUUCUCUUGAUAAGAGACCACUGGCCGUGGGCGGGUUCUGGACAGUUUACAGAAGCUAUGCACUUGAUUGCCUUUGUGUCCCUGCUUCACCUUUUGAAGCAUAGGGCCUAAUUAUAAUGUAUUUAAAUGUUGUCUCCACCCCAAAGUGAACAUGGGUUGCAUGUAACAGGCAUGUUUACUCAGCAUGCAUGCAGCAGGAUCCCUUCACAAAUAUUCAGAGCUCCCCCUAUUCCCUGUUGAAUAUGUAUAUGUGGCCAGCCAGAUCAACGUAAAUCACUAUUCGCCCUCCCCUCCCUGGAAACCUACUUUUCGGGUUUCAGCAGGAAGCUAUGCCUCCCAGUCUGUCAGAAUGGCCACUUGCAGGCUGUAACCCUUUAUAAAAAAAUAAAAUCUCCUUUCUAAA